AGUAAGACUGCCAGGCGGUCUGCCAGGCCAGGCUAAGCUUGACCUGGUCUGGUUUCCGAUCUUGGAAUUCGUCAGUAAACAACGCUACACUGGAGCAUCUACUUAUUGAAAAAAGCUGACAAGGUAACGAGGCACAGGUGAGCAUAAUCAGGGCGGGUAAACACAAGUAACAGGAUCUAGAAGACGAAGACAAAGGAGCUCUUAUUUGUCAUCAGGCUCAACACGAGGCAUCAUGGGACCAAAACGUGGACAGCUAACAAUUUCCAACACAAAAAAUAGACAUGAC